rnacentral:precursor_RNA from 10 species
AAGCAGCCGAAUGACAAGGCCGCUAUAUCUUUACAUCUCUCUAUGUAGUCAUGUAGCAAAUUACAAUGAAGACAUGGGAAGAUGUAAACGUGAUGAGGCCAGAUACAGCUGCAGUUGAA